UGCUUCACGACGUGCGUGCUUUUGGGGAGCUCUGCCCUCCGCACCCCCACCGGCAUCUGACAAGGAGCGUUUUUAGGUGUAGUGCAAACUUUUGUGCCUGUUGAAUUUGCCGCAUUGCUUCCGGAGGCACAGACAGUGUGUUUUUCCCUAUCUGGUAAUAAGUUUCUGCAGAAAUGUACCACAGGAUGAGGUCAGGGAAAUAGCGCCUACUGGUAUCAGAGACCUCUCUGCACGUCAGGCAAUGAUCAGCAAAGAGACCACGUUUUCCCCUUGCUGGGAAGCAGCCUUGGAAAAGUUCCUGGUGAAAUUACACACGUUGAUGACACUGGAAGUUGAAAGACCACAAUCCUCGUCUCACGGGAUCGCCAAACCUGAACGUGCCGGGAGAGACCGUCCACGCGAGAGCCGGGAACAGGCAGUGAGAGGCAACCUGAGCCACGUUUUAUCUGAAACUUCCCCAACGCUCUCCUCUUUCUUUUCACGAGCUCGGCUGACACGCUACAACUCUACUCUCGCAAUUAGCCUGUACCGUGCAAAGCCUAUGCUUUAAUUUCUUUCUCUUGCUGAAAGUGUCAGUACUUUAAUCUUAAAGAGAUUAUAUGGGUUUUCUCUAAUCUCAUUUCAGAGAGCCGAGCACAGCGCUUAAAAGUUCCACUGACUAUAACAUAAUAAUAAGAGAUGCAACUUUGAUUUCUAGCAACAUCCGUGUCAAAGUAUUUUAUACUUUGGCCUUUGCUAGAAUGGAAUGUCACUGCCUCGCUUUCAAUUCCCUUCCAUCCGAAAAUAUUUAGGUAUCGUUCAAGAUACUGCCUGACUUCAGAAAUAGUCCCUUUCAAAAACCUUCUACUUUUCUGGGGGAACAUUUUUGCAAGAGCUCGAAGGUAGCCCGUGUGUGAAGAGUAGUUCUUGGAUAUCUUUUUUUAGGUGGUUGGGGUAAAAAAAAAAAAAAAAUUAUAUUCCUUGUCCCUGCAUGUUAUUUGAAAUCAUGUUUAAUUAUAAAGUUUCAUUAAAAACCUUUGCUCAAAAUUUUA